rnacentral:siRNA from 1 species
UAUCACAUGAGUAGUCUUUAUUA